rnacentral:snoRNA from 1 species
AUGGGAAUGAUUAUGUAAUUAUUAAGUUGCGAUUGUCUGAUUUUUAUAUGGGCCUGUGAUGUAAGCUAAAUAUUUGCUACUCUUGAUGGGGAUUCCCAGUUGAUGAUCUCAUACCACCAAGAUCUCUGAGGCUCAU